ensembl:lncRNA
CCGCCCGGCUCCCAGGCUGGCCGGCCGGGCGGAAUGGAGAGCGCUCGGCACCCAGCUCCGCCGCGGUGGCGACCGCCGCUUGCUCUGUGACGUUAGCAGCCUUCGCGGCUAUUUAUAUCCGCACGAUUGGAUUUCAUUCAUGAAACCCGGGCCUGGUGUGUCUGUGCGCUAGGGUGCGGGUUGCAAAGGAGCUGACCGGCCGCGGACUCCAAGGGAGGACAUUGGCUUUUGUUUCAAAACGGAGCCCAGCUGCUGACUAAGAGCUGCGUUAGCCCAGCCUCCUCCUCCCCUGGGCGUUGCACGUGCUGCCCGGCUCGACUCUGGGUUACCUUCCUCUGUGACUUGGCUCGUGGGGUCCCUGCAAGGGACGUAAGGACGCACCGGCUGCCCCCGACCCGAGCUGUGAGCUCUGAGGACGGACCAGAGGCAGUUUUCAUGCAUGCACAUAAAAGAUGUCUGUUUCCUACAGAAUGUCAGGUAAUCUGUGAAGCUCUAAGAAGGUGACAAUGAACGCAACCAACCCGGUGCUGGUCCCCAAGGCACUUUCUUUUCAGCCAGCUAUUAAAAUUAGUAUGUUUUACACCAUCUCAUUCCCAUCCUCGCAAUUAGGGGCAAAGCUUUUUCCGGACAAAUUAUGGUGGUUUUAAUCUGGAUUUCCCUAAUGACUAAUGAUACUGAAGAACUGACUCAUUGAAAAAGACCCUGAAGCUGGGAAAGACUGAAGGCAGGAGGAGAGGGGACGAUAGAGGAUGAGAUGGUUGGAUGGCAUCACGGACUCGAUGGACAUGAGUUUGAGCAAGCUCCGGGAGUUGGUGGUGGACAGGGAGGCCUGGCGUGCUGCAGUCCAUGGGGUCGCAAACAGUAGGAUAGGACUGAGCGACUGAACUGAAUGAUACUGAACCUCCUCUCAUGUGCCAUUAUAUCUUUUUUGCG